rnacentral:rRNA from 1 species
CCGCACGGGUGAGUAACACGUAUCCAACCUGCCGUCUACUCUUGGACAGCCUUCUGAAAGGAAGAUUAAUACAGGAUGGCAUCAUGAGUCCGCAUGUUCACAUGAUUAAAGGUAUUCCGGUAGACGAUGGGGAUGCGUUCCAUUAGAUAGUAGGCGGGGUAACGGCCCACCUAGUCUUCGAUGGAUAGGGGUUCUGAGAGGAAGGUCCCCCACAUUGGAACUGAGACACGGUCCAA